UCUUUUCCUGCUUCUUUCUUCUUCUCCAGUUCGAUUUCAGAGUGAUGAAAUUGCGAGUUAAUUGGAGUGAAUCAACUAGUGAAUCUCGUAGAUGAAACUGGAGUUAUUCUCUAUCAAUUAAGAACGAGAUUUUUGCUGCUGCAAAUCAUGAUAAAAUUAAAAAUGGGAAGAAAUACUGAUACUGUGAAUUGAUCUGGGUUUGUUGCCGAAACUUAAAGAUGAAGAUAAUAAGUGCUCGUCUUUGAUUCGGGAGGGUUAGGAGGGACUGAGAAGAUGAAACAAGUGGUGCUGAGAGAUGGGUUUGAUGUUCUAAAACUAUGGGGUAACGAUCCUACAAAAGGGUUUAAUUCAGCAGGAUAAAAGGAAAGGUGGGUUGUAUUGGUGCUGGUAAAGAUGCAGAUGCAAUGGACGGCUGUGUCGAUGGAACUGUUGAAGGUAGUUGUGUUAUUGUCGUGGUGAAAUUGCAGCUAUAAUGAUGUCAAUGGAUAUGAGUUGCAGGACAGAGUUAGCAAGGAAAGUUGAGUUGGUUUUGCUGCCUUUAUGGUAGUGAUGAAUUAUAGUUGCUGGUGAUUCAGGGACCGAGUCCGAAGAACAAAGAAGAAAAAUGACCGAUAUUGGCAGGGAUGAUCAAUGUAGUUAAUAUCGGAUAUCGGUUCAUCUCGUCCGGGACCGAUACACUGGUACGAUUUUAUAUCGGGGAUAUUAUCGUUGAAAUAUCGGUAUAAUAUCGGUUCUAGAUUUAGAGACUAUAAUUUUAUAUUAAACAUUUUCUCCA